UUCUCCCCAUUCACUUUGCCAAUUAGACAUUUGUUGUCUCCAUUGGCCAUUCAGGUGGGGCAGAGACAAUAUCCUUUUAAAACCCAACCAGUUAAUACUUAAUUGGCUUGGAUCCUGUCAAAGGAAACAUAC
ensembl:snoRNA small nucleolar RNA SNORA27